CCUACGGGUGGCAGCAGUGGGGAAUAUUGCGCAAUGGGCGAAAGCCUGACGCAGCAACGCCGCGUGGGUGAAGAAGGCCUUCGGGUUGUAAAGCCCUGUCAGAAGGAAAGAAUACUGCUGGCCACACCAGCAGUUGACGGUACCUUCGAAGGAAGCACUGGCUAACUCCGUGCCAGCAGCCGCGGUAAUACGGAGAGUGCAAGCGUUGUUCGGAAUUAUUGGGCGUAAAGCGCGUGUAGGCGGUUCGACAAGUCUGGCGUGAAAGCCCAGGGCUCAACCCUGGAAGUGCGCUGGAAACUGUCGAACUUGAGUACCGGAGGGGAAGGUGGAAUUCUCGAGUGUAGAGGUGAAAUUCGUAGAUAUUCGGAAGAACAUCAGUGGCGAAGGCGGCCUUCUGGACGGAUACUGACGCUGAGACGCGAAAGCGUGGGGAGCAAACAGGAUUAGAUACCCGUGUAGUC
rnacentral:rRNA from 1 species